AUACGAAGGUCCCAAGCGUUAUUCGGAAUCACUGGGCGUAAAGAGUACGUAGGCGGUUUGGUAAGUCAGGUGUGAAAUCCCGAAGCUCAACUUCGGAACUGCAUCCGAUACUGCCAGACUAGAGUAAUGGAGAGGCAGGUGGAAUUCUCGGUGUAGCAGUGAAAUGCGUGGAUAUCGAGAGGAAGACCAAUGGCGAAGGCAGCCUGCUGGACAUUUACUGACGCUGAGGUGCGAAGGCUAGGGGAGCGAAAGGGAUUAGAAACCCCAGUAGUCC
rnacentral:rRNA from 1 species